rnacentral:rRNA from 1 species
GAUCAUGGCUCAGGAUGAACGCUGACAGAAUGCUUAACACAUGCAAGUCAACUUGAACUUCGGUUUGGGUGGCGGACGGGUGAGUAACGCGUAAAGAACUUGCCUCACAGAUAGGGACAACAUUUGGAAACGAAUGCUAAUACCUGAUAUUAUGAUUUUAGGGCAUCCUAAAAUUAUGAAAGCUAUAUGCGCUGUGAGAGAGCUUUGCGUCCCAUUAGCUAGUUGGAGAGG